rnacentral:rRNA from 1 species
GACGAACGCUGGCGGCGUGGAUUAGGCAUGCAAGUCGAACGGUAUCAUCCUUUCGGGGGUGAGAGAGUGGCGAACUGGUGAGUAACACGUAGGUUAUCUACCCUCAAGACGGGGACAACCCAGGGAAACUUGGGCUAAUACCGGAUGUGAGCAACUUUUAGUUGUUUGAAAGGUGGCGUAAGCUGUCGCUUGGGGAUGAGCCUGCGUCCUAUUAGUUAGUUGGUGAGGUAACGGCUCACCUAGGCAAUGAUAGGUAGGCGGCCUUAACGGGUGGUCGCCCACACUGGGAUUGAGAUACGGCCCAGACUCCUACGGGAGGCAGCAGUCGAGAAUAGUCUACAAUGGUCGGAAGACUGAUAGUGCGACGCCGCGUGAACGAUGAAUCCCUUCGGGGUGUAAAGUUCUUUUAUAUGUGAGCAGUGCUUCUUAUAUUAACAGUAUGGGGAGAGAGAUAUUAGCAUAUGAAUAAGCAACGGCUAACUCCGUGCCAGCAGCCGACGGUAAAACGU